rnacentral:rRNA from 1 species
CCUACGGGAGGCAGCAGUGGGGGAUAUUGCACAAUGGGGGGAACCCUGAUGCAGCGACACCGCGUGGGUGAAGAAGCGCCUCGGCGCGUAAAGCCCUGUCAGCAGGGAAGAAAAUGACGGUACCUGAAGAAGAAGCCCCGGCUAACUACGUGCCAGCAGCCGCGGUAAUACGUAGGGGGCAAGCGUUAUCCGGAUUUACUGGGUGUAAAGGGGGCGCAGACGGCGAUGCAAGCCAGGAGUGAAAGCCCGGGCCCAACCCCGGGACUGCUCUUGGAACUGCGUGGCUAGAGUGCAGGAGGGGCAGGCGGAAUUCCUGGUGUAGCGGUGAAAUGCGUAGAUAUCAGGAGGAACACCGGUGGCGAAGGCGGCCUGCUGGACUGCAACUGACGUUGAGGCCCGAAAGCGUGGGGAGCAAACAGGAUUAGAUACCCCUGUAGUC